rnacentral:rRNA from 1 species
GCGCGAAAACUUCGCACUGUGCGAAAGCACGACGAGGGAAUCCCAAGUGCUGGCUCGUAAGAGUCAGCUGUUUUUCUGUCUAAAAAACAGGGAGAGUAAGAGCUGGGUAAGACGGGUGCCAGCCGCCGCGGUAAUACCUGCAGCUCAAGUGGUGGCCGCUAUUAUUGGGCCUAAAACGUCCGUAGCCGGUUUCAUAAAUGCCUGGGUAAAUCAUACGGCUUAACCGUAUGAAUUCCGGGUAGACUGUUUAACUUGAGACCGGGAGAGGCUAGAGGUACUCCUGGGGUAGAGGUGAAAUUCUGUAAUCCUAGGGGGACCACCAGUGGCGAAGGCGUCUAGCUAGAACGGGUCUGACGGUGAGGGACGAAGCCCUGGGGAGCAAACGGGAUUAGAUACCCCGGUAGUCCAGGGUGUAAACGCUGCGGGCUUGGUGUCGGAGGUCCUACGUGGGCGUCCGGUGCCGGAGAGAAAUUGUUAAGCCUGCCGCUUGGGGAGUACGGUCGCAAGACUGAAACUUAAAGGAAUUGGCGGAGAGCACCGCAACGGGAGAGCGUG